UACGAAGGGGGCUAGCGUUGCUCGGAAUCACUGGGCGUAAAGCGCACGUAGGCGGCUUCUUAAGUCAGGGGUGAAAUCCUGGAGCUCAACUCCAGAACUGCCUUUGAUACUGAGAAGCUUGAGUCCGGGAGAGGUGAGUGGAACUGCGAGUGUAGAGGUGAAAUUCGUAGAUAUUCGCAAGAACACCAGUGGCGAAGGCGGCUCACUGGACCGGUACUGACGCUGAGGUGCGAAAGCGUGGGGAGCAAACAGG
rnacentral:rRNA from 1 species